rnacentral:rRNA from 1 species
UACGGAGGAUGCAAGCGUUAUCCGGAAUGAUUGGGCGUAAAGCGUCCGCAGGUGGCUAUGUAAGUCUGCUGUUAAAGAGUGAGGCUCAACCUCAUAAGAGCAGUGGAAACUACAUGGCUAGAGUGCGUUCGGGGCAGAGGGAAUUCCUGGUGUAGCGGUGAAAUGCGUAGAUAUCAGGAAGAACACCGGUGGCGAAAGCGCUCUGCUGGACCAUAACUGACACUCAGGGACGAAAGCUAGGGGAGCGAAUGGG